UAAAUAAACAACCACACCGUGCUACUGCAGCAGGAUGGUUUCUUACUCUAGCAGAUUCUCGUUGCUAUAUAUAAUGUGGCUCUCUCCUUCUCUUUCUAGGCACAUGAGCGCACACACGCUGACGGUAAAGGCAAUCAAUGGUGGAUAAUGGAGUUUGGAAACUGCUCACCCCAAGGUAUCAUCGGCAUAACUCGUCUAUGGGACACUCACCAACUCCGCGGAAUUUGUCGCAGAGGGUACACCACCACGCGAAUGAACCCCAGAUGCUGUGGGAAGCGAUGAGCAACAUACGAUCAACGAAAGCCGUUUAGCAUACCAAUCGAUCUGCAUUUGUGCACAACGAUCUGCACAAAUGCACCCAGCCGUGUUUGUGCGUAACGACAACGUCCAAUCCACCAUGACGACACCCUACCAAGGACCAUACCGGAUACUUCAGCGAAGCUUAAAGUUCUUCCAGAUUCUGGUAAAUGGACAACCGUCACAGAUAUAUAUAGAUCGCCUGAAACCGGCCUACACAACAGACGAUCCACCCGAUCUGACGCGAAGACGAAAAGAACCAAUGGACAACUCGGUAUCGGUCGAGCAGCCGUCUAGAACCCAAGAGCCGACGUCCAGUCUAGCAUCGCCGCAGACAGCUGAACGAGCCACCACCCGCAACCAACCUACACCGAUCUUACCACAAAAGGAGGACGACAACAUAUCGACCGGCGUUACGAGACCACAACGCAGAGUUAUAAUCCCUCUGCGCUAUCGGUAACACCAGUCAAGACGGGAGUACUGUGGCGACCAAGACGUCCUAGUUAGCUAGGACACGAACCUGUAGCAAAGCGCCACCUAGGACGAAACGCAUAAAAUACGAAAAGUUUUCAUUCGGGUAGAACAGGGCGAGAACAAUGAGGUCGUUGUUCCCAGACAAGAAACCAACCCGACGAGCAAGAACAUGAAGAACGAGGAAAAAAUUAUACAUGUACCUCCUUUUUUUAUUAUAACUUAAGUGUUAAUGAUCGGAAAAUUAUGCAAAACAUAUGCAAAGACGCAGAAUUGAAUUUUACACAAAUCAUCCGAACAUUGUUGAUGUCUAUCUCGUCAGGAUUUCAAGUAAAUCGCAAAUAAAGAAAACAUUGAAAUAUUUCACUUCGGUUUUUUGUUAAUAACUUUAGUACUAAUGAUCGGACAGGUAUGUAAAACACAUGCAAAGAUGCAGAAUUGAAUUCUACACAAAUCAUCCGAACAUUGUUGAUGGCUAUCUCUUAAGUAUUUCAAGUAAUUCGCAAAUAUAACUAAUUUUGAAAUAUUUCAUCUUUUUCUUUCGUUAAUUACUUUAGUACUAAUGAUCCGAAAAGUAUGCAAAAAAUACACAAAGAUGCAGAAUUAAAUUCUACACAAAUCAUCUAGACAUUCUAGUUGGCUAUCUCUUCAGGUUUCCAAGUAAAUCGCUAAAUAAAGAAACUUUUGAAAUAUUUCAAUUUCGUUUUUUGGUUAUAACUUUAAUACAAAUGAUCCGAAAAGUAUGCAACACACACACAAAGACGCAGAAUCAAAUUCUACACAAAUCAUCCGAACAUUGUUGAUGGCUAUCUCGUCAGGAUUUCGAGUAAUUAGCAAAAAUAGAAAAUUUUGAAAUAUUUCACUUCAGUUUUUUGGUAAUAACUUUAGCACUAAUGAUCGGACGGGUAAGUAAAACACAGGCAAAGAUGCAAAAUCAAAUUCUACUCAAAUCAUCCGAACAUUGUUGAUGGCUAUCUCGUCAGGAUUUCAAGUAAAUCGCAAAAAACCAAAAUUUUGAAAUAUUUCACUUUGGUUUUUUGGUAAUAACUUUAGUACUAAUGAUCGGACGGGUAAGUAAAACACAUACAAAGAUGCAGAAUCAAAUUCUACACAAAUCAUCCGAACAUUGUAGU